ensembl:lncRNA novel transcript
GAAGUGGGAGAGGAUGCAGGUCAGGUUAAGAGAAAUAGUGCAGUUCCAACCCUGGGCAGCCCUAAGUAAGAGUCAUCAGAAGCUUCCAGGCAAUUGUCACUGAAAAAUAAGUGCUAUAGCACUACCUCAGCUGCUGCAACCACAGACCUCAUUCAGAAAUCUUUAUUGUAUUAACCCUUGUGUGUCCGGAAUUGGUGGGUUCUUGGUCUCACUGACUUCAAGAAUGAAGCCUGGGACACUCACGGAAUCAAGACAACUCACCAGAAAAAGGACUGAGAACUCCUUCUGGAUGAAGAUACUUCCUAGGUGCAAGAGAGUUGAGUUAAGGCUAAAGCUCUAUAACCAUUGAAAGCUGGCUGGGGGAAAAGAAGAAGAGGCAAAAAGAUCAACUGAAGAAUAAACUGCUGUCAUUGGCACAAAAGAAUACCACAAAGAUUAUUUACAAAACUCGAAUCAGGAGUAGAACAGACCUCCAUGUGGAAGUUCAAUUAUGCUAAGAGGAAAGAGGAAAGGGGAAGAGUUUACAGAAAUAAAUUAAUGAUGAUGAUAAACUA